UGUAUCUCAGGAUGUCAUGAUUGUCGACCAAAUGGGAAAGCUGAGAUUUUUAAUCGAAGAAUGCCCAUAUCAGCUUGGAUCAACUUGUAUUGGUGAAGGCUUAUCCAUUAGGAAUGUAAACGAGGAGGGACGAUGUAAGUCGCCUACAAAACGCACUUUUACCCAUCCCCCUCCAACAGACACCCACCAUGGACGAAUCAGAGUGUGCGAGCGAGAGAGAAUGAUCAAUACUAAAAAACACAGCUGCUGGAACAGGGUGGGGGUAGCCACUGCAAAUUAAUUUCAUCACUCUGGCUAUAUUAAUCGAAUCUGAUCCUUAUUUGGGGAUCUGAAAGAUAUGGUCAUUCUCUACGGAACUGCGUUUAUGGUUUUCUCGUAUCUUCAAAAUUCGGACUUUGAAAUACACGCAUAUGUAGCCAUAAUACCGGCGUCCGACACGUACAUAUGUAUGUGCAUAUGUUUGUCUGAUCAGCACGCACACACCCCGCCCCCAAUAAAACACUCCACCGAAGUUGUUUAUUGGCGUUCGAUUAAUUUCCAUAGAUUUUCGUAUUCCUAAAUUCCCUAUUUACAUUGGAUAUUUAUAUUAAAUAAUAAAAAUAACCAAUCCCGGGGAAAAAUACCACCAAAAUACCAAUUACGCCACAUCUACAUACAACAUUUGGUAUAUGUAUGCACCUACGCGUUAGCACCAUACGCGAUACCGGCACACCGAUUUAUAUGCAAAUUUCAUUCCAGGCGCACUUUAAGUGACCCACCGCCAAAAUAAUUUCCCACACAUCAGGGAUAAAUUAAUCCAACAAGAGGCACAGCUCAUUUCCGCAGCCUUGUUGCAUUUUUUCCGCGCCAAUUUCCAAAUUGCCAAAAACUAAAGGUGACAAACACAAAAAAC
rnacentral:lncRNA from 1 species